rnacentral:rRNA from 1 species
AUGGUGAGAACCAGCAGCAAUGUUCGGCCAUCAGAUCCGGUGGAAGCUCAUCUUGGGGCGGAAGCAGAGAUAGCCACGCUGAUUCGAUCGGUUCCUCUCUUGCAACUCACACGGGAGCCGACCUCGAGUUUGACUAGAGCCAGAGGUGAUGGACUGCGCAAGGUCCGCACCCCCGCAUCAACAACCUGGACAUCCGUCUCCGGCGUCAUCGGCGAGCUGCAGCCGGACGACCAGAAUUCUGUCUUCCUCUAUAAUGAGCUAGAUGAUGUCAAAUGCACGACUGCCAAUGGUGGCCUCAUCGGUGGUGCCAUCUUGCGAGAGGGAAGCAACAUUGGAGGCAGUCCGAACCGUGAGAAUGAUCACGAUGCUAAUGAGAACAUGGAUGAUAUCUACGGCACGAGGAGAUGA